CCUGCCUGUCUGUUGGAAAUGGUGAAGUGUAUUUCGUCUCUAAAAACUUCCACAACGUCCUCAUCUGGGAUCCCGUGAACUCUGACCAAGACGAGGUUUACAGCGUUCAAUACUUGCAGAACUCAAGAAUAAAACCGGACAAUUCAACAUCAAGAUGAUGCCCAACCUGGGCUCCUACUGUGGACACGUCGUGUACAAACCAAUUCCAGGAUGGGGUCGCGAGCCAAGUGAGAAGGCUUUCUUCUGUGUCAAGCUGCAAGACAAUCCUGUAACGCAUUCAUCCCAGCUCCUCGUGAGCAUUGCUGUUGUGGCAGGCAUCGUCAUCGUAUCAGUUGUGUGUGUGUGCACCUACCUGAAGGGUGGAAAGUCAAAGACAUUGCCACAGGCACUGAAAAUUCCCUCAGAAGCCCAUGAGGUGUUGUUGCAGGUUCCAGAUAAGAAUCUUAUCAUUUCUGAAAUCCUUGUUGGCACCAAAAGUGACCAGACAGUUGGUGCACCAAUCCAGGUGAAGCCCGAAUCAUGUCCAGGCCUUUUUGAAACGUAUUCCCCUCAGGACAUCCCCUGGCACAUCUUCAGGGGCGAUUCCUCUUUGAGCAGAGGAAGAGGGACCUCAAAUCUCGAGGGCGCCAGUGUCCACUCCUCUGAAACCUACAGUGCUAUUGCAACCCACCUUCAGGUGGAAGACAAUGAAGAGCCUCAGGCUGUCACCAAAUGCAGAAGAACAAGUCGUUCACCUUUGUCCUCCAUUGAAGACGAAAACUGGAACAAAGAAAACAGCAGUGGAGACUCUGUAUUCCAGAUGCACCACGAGAGAAAACCCUUCCUAAUGGAUGCCACAGAAGGUCUGGACGUCUCCCUGUUGAUGUCUUUGCAGAGAUCAUGCAGCACAGAUUCUGGGUGUGAUGACUGCACCGUAAACACGCCGACCAGUUCAUACUACAACACCAGUUUUUCCCCCCCUCAAACGGUUGUUCCUUAUUUGCAUGAAGGAUGUCACACAAUACCGUCAGCUGAGACCGGAUCGGGUUACAAACAAAACUGGAUGCCUGGAAUCUCUCGUAAACCUGCAUUAGUUGAUGCUUGGAUUUGCUCAGAAAUGAUCAAGGAGGUCGAGGAUAAUGAGGUUAAUGAGGAUAGAGAAUAUGUGGCGAACAUGGGGCAAAUUAUUUUGGGAAACUGGGAAAUUCAAACUCAGAAAUGAGUUUCUACAUUCUGGUACUUCUUAGGGGUUUAACGAACCUUUCCUGUAGCUCUCAAAACCUGGCUUUGUUCUUGCUUUUCACCAUCAAAUGGUGGAAAAAUAAGUCAGCAGGAGAACUUAUGGACACUUUUCAGGAAAAAAAAAAAAGAACCUGUAGCAUCAGUUGCUUAAUGUAAUGGGUCGCUGUUUAUGUAGACUGUGGUUUUGGAAUAUACCAGAUUGUUUAUGUGAAGUUUAUUUUUAUAUGUAGUCUUUAGAAAAAUGCAAUAGGUUUUUACAAGUGUGGAUUAGUUACAAAUGUUUGACUGAGUGCUUGAAGUGUAAAAAAACAGUACGAAUGGUGAGGGUGGCAGAGGACACCUGCUGUUUACCUAAAGAUGGACUUUUUUCUGUCAUUUUGGAGAUUUAGUCUACUAAAAAGUUGGGAAAGUAUCAGAAUGCACCGUUCUUAAGAGAGAAGUCUUGGUAAGCUAAGAGGUAAAGUUUAAGUGUCUAUACCACUACUACUACAGUGCAUACCAGCUAAUUUAAAGUACUGCUUUUACCCAUGUAACUAUUAAAAUAUAUAUAUA
rnacentral:lncRNA from 1 species